CCUACGGGAGGCUGCAGUGGGGAAUAUUGGACAAUGGGCGAAAGCCUGAUCCAGCCAUGCCGCGUGUGUGAAGAAGGCCUUCGGGCUGUAAAGCACUUUCAGUGGGGAAGAAAGCCUUGGGGCUAAUACCCUCGAGGAAGGACAUCACCCACAGAAGAAGCACCGGCUAACUCCGUGCCAGCAGCCGCGGUAAUACGGAGGGUGCGAGCGUUAAUCGGAAUUACUGGGCGUAAAGCGCGCGUAGGCGGUCUGAUAAGCCGGUUGUGAAAGCCCCGGGCUCAACCUGGGAACGGCAUCCGGAACUGUCAGGCUAGAGUGCAGGAGAGGAAGGUAGAAUUCCCGGUGUAGCGGUGAAAUGCGUAGAGAUCGGGAGGAAUACCAGUGGCGAAGGCGGCCUUCUGGACUGACACUGACGCUGAGGUGCGAAAGCGUGGGUAGCAAACAGGAUUAGAUACCCCGGUAGUC
rnacentral:rRNA from 1 species